AUUUUUCUCCUCCGUCCCAAAAUUCUUGUCUUAGAUUUGUCUAGAUACGGAUGUAUCUAAUACUAAAAUGUGACUUGAUACAUCCGUAUUUAGACAAAUGUAAGACACGAAUUUUGGGACGGAGGGAGUACUAA
rnacentral:pre_miRNA from 1 species